AUGGAUAAUUUUACUAAAUGGACUGAGACUUGACAGCAUUCCAAGCCAGGAGGUUUGAAAAGGAGCCACAGACUGACAGGAUCAAGACAUCAGCAUAAAGGCAACUUUAGAGAUGACAGCAGAGACUGUGUGGAGCUCCCUUGAAUCCUACUGCCUCCUCCAGCAAUGUGAAGUGGAAGUACAGAAC